rnacentral:tRNA from 1 species
AGUAGGGUCAGCUAAACAAGCUAUCGGGCCCAUACCCCGAAAAUGCCGAACGGCCCCUACUA